rnacentral:misc_RNA from 1 species
GGUGAUGUAACGCGUAUCACCGGUGCCAAUGCCGGCCGGCAAAGAUUCUCGGGUUCGUCGACGACCGGAUUGAGUCCGUCAACAUGGAGGAUGACAAAGUUGAAAUGGGAAUCCCUUGUGAAAUGGACCUCGACUUGAGAAUAUCGACAACCACCUUCCGUUGCCCGUCAGCAAAUCGGCCACUCCUUGGCCCAGUCAUAGUGCCCAGGUACAAAAUCGUAGCCGGAGGGACCUUCGAGUUGGGCGCGAUCUGCUCCGGGACAGCGUUCGUCAAGUUGUACCGGGAAAUUAUAUUUUGCUGGCUCUUUACGAGACUAUCGUGCUAGGCCGAGUGCGGAACACGGCGCUGGACGCGGAUUAUAACCUCGGAGCGGUCCGCUUUGAGUUCAAACUGCCCACGGGAACCAGUAUACGUCAUACUGGUGACUUCUCCUCUACGACCGCGAUGGAGUACUCGGAGGAGUCGAGCUACGACAAGUUGCGUCGGUAAGGAGGAUUUCUGCGGCCCCGCGAAAACAUCAGCACGAUUCCAAUCAGCUGGUAUCAAGAUCCGACCCGAUCCGAGAAGGCCCUUCUGUAGACAGCGUUACGAAAGAUGAGGAGAAAUCCUAAUGAACCAGUCCGCCUCCAGGCGAACUUCGAUCUAAAAAUUCACCGAAAAUCAUUGUUCCAACGAAUUUUAAAGAAAGGUCUGGAAAUGUUACGUGACUUUGCUAAUGCUUUGAAUUUUAUUCUGGG